AUUGAACGCUGGCGGCAUGCUUUACACAUGCAAGUCGAACGGCAGCGCGGGCUUCGGCCUGGCGGCGAGUGGCGAACGGGUGAGUAAUGCAUCGGAACGUGCCCUGUAGUGGGGGAUAGCCCGGCGAAAGCCGGAUUAAUACCGCAUACGACCUGAGGGUGAAAGCGGGGGACCGAAAGGCCUCGCGCUAUUGGAGCGGCCGAUGUCGGAUUAGCUAGUUGGUGGGGUAAAGGCUUACCAAGGCGACGAUCCGUAGCUGGUCUGAGAGGACGACCAGCCACACUGGGACUGAGACACGGCCCAGACUCCUACGGGAGGCAGCAGUGGGGAAUUUUGGACAAUGGGGGCAACCCUGAUCCAGCCAUGCCGCGUGCGGGAAGAAGGCCUUCGGGUUGUAAACCGCUUUUGUUCGGGAAGAAAUCCUCUGGGCUAAUACCCCGGGGGGAUGACGGUACCGGAAGAAUAAGCAUCGGCUAACUACGUG
rnacentral:rRNA from 1 species